rnacentral:rRNA from 1 species
GGGUUGUGAGGUUAAGCGACUAAGCGUACACGGUGGAUGCCCUGGCAGUCAGAGGCGAUGAAGGACGUGCUAAUCUGCGAUAAGCGUCGGUAAGGUGAUAUGAACCGUUAUAACCGGCGAUUUCCGAAUGGGGAAACCCAGUGUGUUUCGACACACUAUCAUUAACUGAAUCCAUAGGUUAAUGAGGCGAACCGGGGGAACUGAAACAUCUAAGUACCCCGAGGAAAAGAAAUCAACCGAGAUUCCCCCAGUAGCGGCGAGCGAACGGGGAGCAGCCCAGAGCCUGAAUCAGUGUGUGUGUUAGUGGAAGCGUCUGGAAAGGCGUGCGAUACAGGGUGACAGCCCCGUACACAAAAAUGCACAUGCUGUGAGCUCGAUGAGUAGGGCGGGACACGUGGUAUCCUGUCUGAAUAUGGGGGGACCAUCCUCCAAGGCUAAAUACUCCUGACUGACCGAUAGUGAACCAGUACCGUGAGGGAAAGGCGAAAAGAACCCCGGCGAGGGGAGUGAAAAAGAACCUGAAACCGUGUACGUACAAGCAGUGGGAGCACGCUUAGGCGUGUGACUGCGUACCUUUUGUAUAAUGGGUCAGCGACUUAUAUUCUGUAGCAAGGUUAACCGAAUAGGGGAGCCGAAGGGAAACCGAGUCUUAACUGGGCGUUAAGUUGCAGGGUAUAGACCCGAAACCCGGUGAUCUAGCCAUGGGCAGGUUGAAGGUUGGGUAACACUAACUGGAGGACCGAACCGACUAAUGUUGAAAAAUUAGCGGAUGACUUGUGGCUGGGGGUGAAAGGCCAAUCAAACCGGGAGAUAGCUGGUUCUCCCCGAAAGCUAUUUAGGUAGCGCCUCGUGAAUUCAUCUCCGGGGGUAGAGCACUGUUUCGGCAAGGGGGUCAUCCCGACUUACCAACCCGAUGCAAACUGCGAAUACCGGAGAAUGUUAUCACGGGAGACACACGGCGGGUGCUAACGUCCGUCGUGAAGAGGGAAACAACCCAGACCGCCAGCUAAGGUCCCAAAGUCAUGGUUAAGUGGGAAACGAUGUGGGAAGGCCCAGACAGCCAGGAUGUUGGCUUAGAAGCAGCCAUCAUUUAAAGAAAGCGUAAUAGCUCACUGGUCGAGUCGGCCUGCGCGGAAGAUGUAACGGGGCUAAACCAUGCACCGAAGCUGCGGCAGCGACGCUGAUGCGUUGUUGGGUAGGGGAGCGUUCUGUAAGCCUGCGAAGGUGUGCUGUGAGGCAUGCUGGAGGUAUCAGAAGUGCGAAUGCUGACAUAAGUAACGAUAAAGCGGGUGAAAAGCCCGCUCGCCGGAAGACCAAGGGUUCCUGUCCAACGUUAAUCGGGGCAGGGUGAGUCGACCCCUAAGGCGAGGCCGAAAGGCGUAGUCGAUGGGAAACAGGUUAAUAUUCCUGUGCUUGGUGUUACUGCGAAGGGGGGACGGAGAAGGCUAUGUUGGCCGGGCGACGGUUGUCCCGGUUUAAGCGUGUAGGCUGGUUUUCCAGGCAAAUCCGGAAAAUCAAGGCUGAGGCGUGAUGACGAGGCACUACGGUGCUGAAGCAACAAAUGCCCUGCUUCCAGGAAAAGCCUCUAAGCAUCAGGUAACAUCAAAUCGUACCCCAAACCGACACAGGUGGUCAGGUAGAGAAUACCAAGGCGCUUGAGAGAACUCGGGUGAAGGAACUAGGCAAAAUGGUGCCGUAACUUCGGGAGAAGGCACGCUGAUAUGUAGGUGAAGUCCCUCGCGGAUGGAGCUGAAAUCAGUCGAAGAUACCAGCUGGCUGCAACUGUUUAUUAAAAACACAGCACUGUGCAAACACGAAAGUGGACGUAUACGGUGUGACGCCUGCCCGGUGCCGGAAGGUUAAUUGAUGGGGUCAGCGCAAGCGAAGCUCUUGAUCGAAGCCCCGGUAAACGGCGGCCGUAACUAUAACGGUCCUAAGGUAGCGAAAUUCCUUGUCGGGUAAGUUCCGACCUGCACGAAUGGCGUAAUGAUGGCCAGGCUGUCUCCACCCGAGACUCAGUGAAAUUGAACUCGCUGUGAAGAUGCAGUGUACCCGCGGCAAGACGGAAAGACCCCGUGAACCUUUACUAUAGCUUGACACUGAACAUUGAGCCUUGAUGUGUAGGAUAGGUGGGAGGCUUUGAAGUGUGGACGCCAGUCUGCAUGGAGCCGACCUUGAAAUACCACCCUUUAAUGUUUGAUGUUCUAACGUGGACCCGUAAUCCGGGUUGCGGACAGUGUCUGGUGGGUAGUUUGACUGGGGCGGUCUCCUCCUAAAGAGUAACGGAGGAGCACGAAGGUUGGCUAAUCCUGGUCGGACAUCAGGAGGUUAGUGCAAUGGCAUAAGCCAGCUUGACUGCGAGCGUGACGGCGCGAGCAGGUGCGAAAGCAGGUCAUAGUGAUCCGGUGGUUCUGAAUGGAAGGGCCAUCGCUCAACGGAUAAAAGGUACUCCGGGGAUAACAGGCUGAUACCGCCCAAGAGUUCAUAUCGACGGCGGUGUUUGGCACCUCGAUGUCGGCUCAUCACAUCCUGGGGCUGAAGUAGGUCCCAAGGGUAUGGCUGUUCGCCAUUUAAAGUGGUACGCGAGCUGGGUUUAGAACGUCGUGAGACAGUUCGGUCCCUAUCUGCCGUGGGCGCUGGAGAACUGAGGGGGGCUGCUCCUAGUACGAGAGGACCGGAGUGGACGCAUCACUGGUGUUCGGGUUGUCAUGCCAAUGGCACUGCCCGGUAGCUAAAUGCGGAAGAGAUAAGUGCUGAAAGCAUCUAAGCACGAAACUUGCCCCGAGAUGAGUUCUCCCUGACUCCUUGAGAGUCCUGAAGGAACGUUGAAGACGACGACGUUGAUAGGCCGGGUGUGUAAGCGCAGCGAUGCGUUGAGCUAACCGGUACUAAUGAACCGUGAGGCUUAACCUUACAACGCCGAAGCUGUU